rnacentral:rRNA from 1 species
UACGGAGGGUGCGAGCGUUGUCCGGAAUCAUUGGGCGUAAAGGGCUCGUAGGCGGCCAACUAAGUCAGACGUGAAAUCCCUCAGCUUAACUGGGGAACUGCGUCUGAUACUGGAUGGCUUGGAUUUGGGAGAGGGAUGCGGAAUUCCGGGUGUAGCGGUGGAAUGCGUAGAGAUCCGGAAGAACACCGGUGGCGAAGGCGGUGAGCUGGGCAGUUGCUGACACUGAGGCGCGACAGCGUGGGGAGCAAACAGGAUUAAGCAACCGG